GGAAUAUAGCUCAGUUGGUAGAGUGCUUGCCUGGUAUGCAAAAGGCCCUGUGUUCAAUCCCUGGCACCA
rnacentral:tRNA from 1 species